rnacentral:rRNA from 1 species
AUUGAACGCUGGCGGCAGGCCUAACACAUGCAAGUCGAACGAGUGGCGGACGGGUGAGUAAUGUCUGGGAAACUGCCUGAUGGAGGGGGAUAACUACUGGAAACGGUAGCUAAUACCGCAUACCAUCGGAUGUGCCCAGGUGGGAUUAGCUAGUGGGUGGGGUAACGGCUCACCUAGGCGACGAUCCCUAGCUGGUCUGAGAGGAUGACCGGCCACACUGGAACUGAGACACGGCCCAGACUCCGACGGGAGGCAGCAGUGGGGAAUCUUGGGCAAUGGGCGAAAGCCUGACGCAGCAAUGCCGCGUGAAUGAAGAAGGCUUUCGGGUUGUAAAGCACUGUUGGCAGGGAGGCGUUAUCUGACCAGGAAGCCCCGGCUAACUCCGUGCCAGCAGCCGCGGUAAUUC